AGGCCAAAAAACUAAAAAGGGUUGUCUUGGCCUACUGUGAAAAAUACCACAGCAGCGUAGAAGGUACUAUAGUCAAGGCAAAGCCUUAUUUUCCCUUACCAGAGCCCCCUACAGAGCCCCCUACAGACCCCGAGCAGCCAUCCACAAGUACACAAGCUUCUGGCACACAACAUGGUCCCACAGCAUCUCUGGAUGCCGGUGCAGAGCAAGGUGCCACAGGAUCACCUGGAUCUAGUCCAGGACAACAGGGACAAGGGUCUCAGACAAAGGGUGGGCGCGCCGACCCAGCUUUCUUGUACAAAGUGGUUGAUGCUGUUAUGGACCCAGAAACGCUGGUGAAAGUAAAAGAUGCUGAAGAUCAGUUGGGUGCACGAGUGGGUUACAUCGAACUGGAUCUCAACAGCGGUAAGAUCCUUGAGAGUUUUCGCCCCGAAGAACGUUUUCCAAUGAUGAGCACUUUUAAAGUUCUGCUAUGUGGCGCGGUAUUAUCCCGUAUUGACGCCGGGCAAGAGCAACUCGGUCGCCGCAUACACUAUUCUCAGAAUGACUUGGUUGAGUACUCACCAGUCACAGAAAAGCAUCUUACGGAUGGCAUGACAGUAAGAGAAUUAUGCAGUGCUGCCAUAACCAUGAGUGAUAACACUGCGGCCAACUUACUUCUGACAACGAUCGGAGGACCGAAGGAGCUAACCGCUUUUUUGCACAACAUGGGGGAUCAUGUAACUCGCCUUGAUCGUUGGGAACCGGAGCUGAAUGAAGCCAUACCAAACGACGAGCGUGACACCACGAUGCCUGUAGCAAUGGCAACAACGUUGCGCAAACUAUUAACUGGCGAACUACUUACUCUAGCUUCCCGGCAACAAUUAAUAGACUGGAUGGAGGCGGAUAAAGUUGCAGGACCACUUCUGCGCUCGGCCCUUCCGGCUGGCUGGUUUAUUGCUGAUAAAUCUGGAGCCGGUGAGCGUGGGUCUCGCGGUAUCAUUGCAGCACUGGGGCCAGAUGGUAAGCCCUCCCGUAUCGUAGUUAUCUACACGACGGGGAGUCAGGCAACUAUGGAUGAACGAAAUAGACAGAUCGCUGAGAUAGGUGCCUCACUGAUUAAGCAUUGGUAACCGGUUAGUAAUGAGUUUAAACGGGGGAGGCUAACUGAAACACGGAAGGAGACAAUACCGGAAGGAACCCGCGCUAUGACGGCAAUAAAAAGACAGAAUAAAACGCACGGGUGUUGGGUCGUUUGUUCAUAAACGCGGGGUUCGGUCCCAGGGCUGGCACUCUGUCGAUACCCCACCGAGACCCCAUUGGGGCCAAUACGCCCGCGUUUCUUCCUUUUCCCCACCCCACCCCCCAAGUUCGGGUGAAGGCCCAGGGCUCGCAGCCAACGUCGGGGCGGCAGGCCCUGCCAUAGCAGAUCCACUAGUAACGGCCGCCAGUGUGCUGGAAUUCAGGGACAUAAAUCACAUUCCCAGAAUAUAUCCUGGGCAACACCUUCGCCAGGGCAUGCAACAAGAAUGUAAAGCCAGUGGUCUGGAAUUUUCUCUGUGCCAAAAAUAUGUCUUCUAAUGGAAAAUGGUUCAUUAAAUUGUUUUCAAUAAAAAAGUGUGUCAUGCAAUCGUUCAAUAAUUCAUGAUCCUCCGUCCAACUGCCGGGACAUAGUACCUCCUCACACACAUAUCUGCCAACAUCAAAAAAUCCAACAAUUCUUCCACUGUUGAUGACAUCUACAAACAACGAGGUGAAAAGUUUGGACAGGUCUCUUUUCCAGUUCUUGAGGGCAGGGCCAUAAUCCGCGCGGUAAACGCUGUCAUAGUGCCUUCUAAACUCCUGGGUCAAUGUUAUUAUUUUAGAGACAUCAACUAACACAGCAGAAUCAACACAAUCCAGUUCUUCCACUUUAGAAACAGUCUUCAAGAAGGCUGUAAUCAGGGUUGCCCAAUAAGUCCCGCUUUUCUUAUGACUCAUGUUUGAUGAUGUAGAGAAUCUGUGGAAUCUGACUAACUCUUCCAACUAGAUGUUUAGAUAUGUGCCACUUAAAAUAGCUGCGCACGCACAACACACCACUUUUUAGUACCUGAAACUAAUUACAUCAUCUGGAAUAAAGUCUUUUGUAUUCCACCCGAACCCAAGCUCCCCGGCACCCCACAACAUUCCACCUUCAACAAACAGCCUACAAUCUACAGGCUACACCUGCGACCUCCAUGGCCAGUCAAGAAUUCCAAGGAUUUCUUGACAGCUCCCUGUUAAAUGAAGAAGACUGCAGACAGAUGAUCUAUCGCAGCGAAAGAGAACACGAUGCGCGCAUGGUGGGCGUCAACGUGGACCAGCACUUUACUUCCCAAUACAGGAAAGUCCUAACCACGUGGAUGUUUUGUGUGUGCAAAGACCUCCGUCAGGAUAACAACGUCUUUCCCCUGGCGGUCGCCUUACUGGAUGAACUAUUCCUUAGCACACGGAUAGAUCGGGAAAAUUACCAGUCCACCGCAGCAGUGGCCCUCCAUAUCGCAGGAAAGGUCAGGGCCUACAUGCCCAUCAAGGCCACCCAGUUGGCAUACCUUUGUGGAGGAGCAACAACAGCUGACAAACUAUUGACUCUGGAAGUCAAAAGUCUGGAUACCCUCUCGUGGGUAGCUGACAGGUGCCUGAGUACAGAUCUCAUCUGUUACAUCCUGCAUAUCAUGCAUGCCCCCCGGGAAGACUACCUGAACAUUUAUAACCUCUGUCACCCAAAAAUCUUCUGCGCCCUAUGCGAUGGCAGGUCAGCCAUGAAACGCCCAGUGCUAAUCACACUGGCCUGUAUGCACUUAACUAUGAACCAAAAGUAUGAUUACUAUGAAAACAGGAUAGAUGGUGUGUGCAAAAGCCUCUAUAUAACCAAGGAAGAGCUACACCAGUGUUGUGAUUUAGUAGAUAUUGCCAUUGUCUCUUUCGAUGAAAACUAUUUCAAAAUAAAUGCCUAGAUUUGCCCUUUC
rnacentral:lncRNA from 1 species